CGGCCGCACCCACCUGCCGCGGGGGGUCCGCCUCCCGCCGGCCCCGGGCGCGCCCUCGCUCUCCGCCCCGCACGCCCGCGCCGCGCCGCCGCCUCCGGGACGCCGCCGAGCCCGCGCCCGCUCCCCGGGGUCCGGGAAAGGGGCCCAGUCCCAACUGGUUACCCAUCGUCGUCAACUGCUGUCCAGAAGCAGGCGAUGCUCCUGACAUAUCAUCAGAAGGUCAAUAAGAGCCUGACACUAGGUCACAAUGUCUACAUCAUUCCUCUCACUUCAUGUCAUCGCGUAAGAAUUUUAUCAUCUCACAUCAUCACAAGAAGAAAGGUGAGUACAAAACAUAAGACAAUUUAAAAGAGAGACCACGUUCACCUAACUUUUACUACAGUAUUGCUAUCAUUGUCCUAUUGUAUUUGUGUCAUAGCUGUUACUCUCUUACUGUGCCUAAUUUAUAAAUGAAAGUUUGUCAUCGGUAUGUACAUAGGUCUUGGCACUAUCUGUGGUUUCCUUGGAGCACAUUUCCCACAUAGAAGGGGACACCACCGUACAGAAACAGAUGACAAUGCAGGUAAUGAAAAUCCCUAGUUUCAAGACACUACACCUUUUCCAAAGCUGGUGAUUACAAGCUUUCAUACUGUAGUACCAUACGUUUUCUUUUUUGUUGUUACCAGCCCCGUCUAUAACUGUGAGCUUCUUUUUCUGCUUAUCAUACACACAAAUCCAAGUAACACUGCCCCAGACUUUAAGGUUGGGCCAGAUAUACUCUUCACUAUUUGAAUGUUGGACUUUGUAAUCCAAGCUUGACUCUCAGCAUACCCCAACACUCGCUUACAGUAAGUUUUUGGCUACACCGGGUCAAGCUGGGCUGUAUAUAAAUGGAAUCUUAGGGGACGAUUCGGAGUCAUUGGUUUCAAAUUGUCUUAAAAGACAUAGAAGUGAGGACUUUGGGAAAACAGUCUGGCAAUUCCUCCGAAAGUUAAACACAGAGUUAUCACCAAACCCAGGAUUUCCAGUCGUGGGGACACACCCAGGAGAAAUGAAUACAAAAGCUUGUACACCAAGAGCAUGAUUCGCGGGCGCCAGAAAGUAGAAACAAACCAACUGUGGGCGAAUGGAUAAACAAAAUGUGGUAAUCCGUAGAAUGGAAUAUUUUGGACAAUAAAAAGGAAUGAAGUACUGUACUUGCUACAACAUGAAGAACCCUGAAAAGUUUAUGCUAACUAAACGAAGCCUGUCACCAAAGCCCACGUAUCAUAUGAUUCCAUUCAUUUGCAAUCCCCAGAACAGGCAAAUCCAUACAGACAGAAAGUAGAUUAGUGGUUAGGGUGGGGGAAGGGGCGAGGGGGGUGUGGAGACUGAAUGCGGGGAGGGCAAGCUCUAAAGGGUGUGGGGUUACUUUCUGAGGUGAUAAAAUGUUCUAAAAUCAAUUGUGGUGACGAUGGGACACCACUGUGAAGACACUAAAAACCACUGCAUUGUACACUUGAAAUGCGUAACUUGUAUCUCAAUCAAGAUGAAUGUGAAGUUUAUAUUAAUAAGGCCCUUAUCAAAAAAAAAGUUGAAAAUAAACAAAGUGAAGAAGAACACGUGGAAAAUUUGACUCAGGCAUUUCAUUGAUGGAGGUGCCAGCUUUCCUGAAGAUCAAAGCCAGACUCCACGGAGAAAUUUCCACUCACUCUUCCCUUCCCCAUACCUCAUUUUCACUCCCAUUUUCCACUCCAAGCCUUCCGUGCUGGGGAAUUAAAGCUCUCUCCCUCAGGCUUCACCGGACACCCUUCCACAAACUGCCCGGCUCCCCCCACUCCUCACCAGCCCCCCAGCUGUCAGCUAAGUGCAGGUGUCUACUCCCUGCUGGAGGGGGAGCUGCUGCAGAAACCCUUCAGAGAAUGUUCCUGAAAACCUUCCCCCAGCUCCUGCACUGUGCAUUUUACAAAGAGAAGAGCUUCUCAGAGCAAGACAUGGAGGGCUCUAGAAGACCUCAUUUCAUGUGUGGGGCAGCUUCACAAAGUGUGGUCCACGGACAGCAGAACCGCCUGGGGGAGCAUGUCCAACUGCAAGCCCAUGGGCUUCCUGAAACAGCCAUGCAACCCCAUGCUCUGGAUAAGAGGCCUGGGAACCUGCAUUUUAGCCAAUGCUAAACAGGAAUGGUGGAUAGUACUAUUCGGACUCCGGAAUCUUUACAUGGGGAUUUGUCUGUGAGAGAGGACUAGUAGGAAGGAGAGGGUAGGGGAUUUGGUUUGAAAACAAACUGAGACGUGAAUAGGCUCUGGGGGAGGGGUGCUCUGUGGGUCCCCAGCCAGGCAUGGGUUGCACAGCUGACUCGUAUGCCCAGGAAGGAUGUCGACCACCGCAGUCUAUGGCAAAGGGCACCAUAUUAGAAGCCAGACAUCCUGGGUUCCAGCCCCUCCUCCGCUCUGUGAUCUCGAGCCAGUUCCAAGCUUCUCUAGCUCCCCGUUACUUGAUCUGUCAAGUGCAAGUUCACGAUGCUUCAUCAGCUCCAGGCCGAGCCGUAUGAUCCGCUGGAGGCCCUGAGUGAGGUCUGCGAUUUUGAAGUUCAAACAUUCUAAGGACCAGGAUUUCUCAGCGGACCAUCGAGAGAGCAGGGGCCAAGAAACGCAGAUGAGUUGGGGUGUGGAAUGGUUAAACUCGCAGGCCCCCAAUACCCAGGACAAAAGUGGAGAUUCAUUUUAAACUUUAAGGCCUUGCAUGCCACGGUCUCCUAGCUUUGCAUGAGGUACAGUGUUGCGUGAGGAUUGUGUCAAGGAAAUUGAGAAGCAGCUUCACUUUUACCUUUCCCUUUGCAGAGAAACGGCUGCAGACCCUUUUUUUUUUUCCUUUCUUUCUUUUUUUAAAUUAAGAGAGUGAGACUAGAAGAAAGAAAGCGCUGAGCAGAGCUGGGCAGACUGGGCACUCCAUUUUUCUGAAACAAUGGUGCAGAUUUCUAAUGCCACUGGCCUCAAGACAGACUUAUUUGUUAAACUGACGAGCUGCAGCCCUACUUUCCUCAUUGUUGAAAUGAAACGCUGAAAACUCCCUCCAGUGCAAAUCCUUUUCACAAAAGGCGAUCCAAGUCAACUGCCCUAAAGAUUACAGCUUAUAAACUUGUAAGGGCGACAAGCUACACAUACAUAUGUAAUAAAAUGUGCCUCGUAAGAGUGGGGGCGGGGGAGAGAGAGAGAGAAUGUGUGUGUGUGUGUGAGUGUUAGAGAGAGAGAGACCUCGUCAUAGAGAUUUCUGCAAAUUCAAGUUUCAGUAGAAG